rnacentral:lncRNA from 1 species
GGAUUUAUUAUUUGAAUUCUACUCUUUUCAUCGUUGCAGUUGUUUUUUGGAUUAUUUUUGAUUUAGUUGUAGUUGUUUCUUAUAACAUUAAAUAAAAUUGUUUGGCUUUUUUCUAGAUAUUCACACCCCCCCUUACACACACACAAAAAAAAAAAAAGAAAAUACUGGAUUUCUAUUGAUUGACAAAGGAUGGCUUCAUCUUUUGUUGGAUUUGCUUUUUGAAAUCUAAGCUUCUCUAUUCAUUGCUCUGUCCCAC